CAGAGUUGCAAAACUCCCAACCCUUGUAUAUUAUAUAUUGUUGCUUUGGCGGGCCGCCCUCACGGGCACCGGCUCACGCUGGCUCGCGCCCGCCGAAGGACCCCAAACUCUGAAGUAUAGUGUCGUCUGAGUACUAUUUAAUAGUUA
rnacentral:misc_RNA from 1 species